GCAGUGGAGGGCGCACUGCACAUGUGCAGCCGCCCUUCAUUCAUUUUCUAUGGGGCCGCCGAAAAUAGUCAAGCACUGGCUCGGCUAUUUCCGUCCGGCCCAUAGAAGUGAAUAAGAGCAGUGGCCGGUCAUGCACAGUGCACUUCCAUUCACUUCUACGGGGAGAUCGCUUGGUGGUGGCCGGACCGGAGUCCUUCAGCCACCACUUUGCGGGGCUCCAUUCCCAAUAUAGGUGUCGGACCCAGUCCUGUGGGA